UACGUAGGGGGCAAGCGUUAUCCGGAUUUACUGGGUGUAAAGGGGGCGCAGACGGCAAUGCAAGCCAGGAGUGAAAGCCCGGGGCCCAACCCCGGGACUGCUCUUGGAACUGCAUGGCUGGAGUACAGGAGGGGCAGGCGGAAUUCCUAGUGUAGCGGUGAAAUGCGUAGAUAUUAGGAGGAACACCAGUGGCGAAGGCGGCUUACUGGACGGCAACUGACGCUGAGGCUCGAAAGCGUGGGGAGCAAACAGG
rnacentral:rRNA from 1 species